rnacentral:rRNA from 1 species
UACGGGGGGGGCAAGCGUUGUUCGGAAUUACUGGGCGUAAAGGGCUCGUAGGCGGCCAACUAAGUCAGACGUGAAAUCCCUCGGCUUAACCGGGGAACUGCGUCUGAUACUGGUUGGCUUGAAUCCGGGAGAGGGACGUGGAAUUCCAGGUGUAGCGGUGAAAUGCGUAGAUAUCUGGAGGAACACCGGUGGCGAAGGCGACGUCCUGGACCGGCAUUGACGCUGAGGCGCGAAAGCCAGGGGAGCAAACGGG